rnacentral:rRNA from 1 species
AUGGCGAAAAAGGCUGCAAAGCGAGCUGUUGGUGAAGCAAGGGGUCGGGCAUAUGAAGACCUCUACCAACGGUUAGGCACGAAGGAAGGCGAAAGGGACAUCUAUAAGAUGGCCAAGAUCCGAGAGAGGAAGACGAGGGACAUUGGCCAAGUCAAAUGCAUCAAGGACGGAGCAGGCCAACUCUUGGUGAAGGACGAGGAGAUUAAGCAUAGAUGGCGGGAGUACUUCGACAAGCUGUUCAAUGGGGAGAAUGAGAGUUCUACCAUUGAACUGGACGACUCCUUUGAUGAGACCAGCAUGCGUUUUGUGCGGCGAAUCCAGGAGUCUAAGGUCAAGGAGGCUUUAAAAAGGAUGAAAGGAGGCAAGGCGAUGGGCCCUGAUUGUAUCCCCAUUGAAGUGUGGAAAGGUCUCGGGGACAUAGCGAUAGUAUGGCUAACCAAGCUUUUCAAUCUCAUUUUUCGGGCAAACAAGAUGCCAGAAGAAUGGAGACGGAGUAUAUUAGUACCAAUCUUCAAGAACAAGGGGGAUGUUUAG